CCUACGGGAGGCAGCAGUGAGGAAUAUUGGUCAAUGGACGAGAGUCUGAACCAGCCAAGUAGCGUGAAGGAUGACUGCCCUAUGGGUUGUAAACUUCUUUUAUAUGGGAAUAAAAUGUUCCACGUGUGGGAUUUUGUAUGUACCAUAUGAAUAAGGAUCGGCUAACUUCGUGCCAGCAGCCGCGGUAAUACGGAGGAUCCGAGCGUUGUCCGGAUUGAUUGGGUUUAAAGGGAGCGUAGGUGGAUUGUUAAGUUAGUUGUGAAAAUUUGCGGCUCAACCGUAAACUUGCAGUUGAGACUGGCAGUCUUGAGUACAGUAGAGGUGGGCGGAAUUCGUGGUGUAGCGGUGAAAUGCUUAGAUAUCACGAAGAACUCCGAUUGCGAAGGCAGUUCACUGGACUGCAACUGACACUGAGGCUCGAAAGUGUGGGUAUCAAACAGGAUUAGAUACCCUAGUAGUC
rnacentral:rRNA from 1 species